rnacentral:rRNA from 1 species
CCUACGGGCGGCAGCAGUGAGGAAUAUUGGUCAAUGGACGAGAGUCUGAACCAGCCAAGCAGCGUGAAGGAUGACUGCCCUCUGGGUUGUAAACUUCUUUUAUAAAGGAAUAAAACGAGGCACGUGUGCCUUUUUGCAUGUACUUUAUGAAUAAGGAUCGGCUAACUCCGUGCCAGCAGCCGCGGUAAUACGGAGGAUCCGAGCGUUAUCCGGAUUUAUUGGGUGUAAGGGGAGCGUAGAUGGGUUGUUAAGUCAGUUGUGAAAGUUUGCGGCUCAACCGUAAAAUUGCAAUUGAGACUGGCAGUCUUGAGUACAGUAGAGGUAGGCGGAAUUCGUGGUGUAGCGGUGAAAUGCUUAGAUAUCACGAAGAACACCGAUUGCGAAGGCAGCUUACUAAACUGUGACUGACAUUGAUGCUCGAAAGUGUGGGUAGCAAACAGGAUUAGAUACCCUUGUAGUC